AGCGAAUAUAGGUAAAUUGGUAAAACCAUUAGUUUUCCAAACUAUUAAUUACGGGUUCGAGUCCCGUUAUUCGCUU
rnacentral:tRNA from 1 species